ACAGCGUGGCGUAGUGGUUUGAGCCUUGGAUUAGGACUCUGGAGACCAGGGUUCGAAUCCUAGCUUGGCUGUG
rnacentral:tRNA from 1 species